rnacentral:rRNA from 1 species
UACGUAGGGUGCAAGCGUUAAUCGGAAUUACUGGGCGUAAAGCGUGCGCAGGCGGUUUUUUAAGGCAGAUGUGAAAUCCCCGGGCUUAACCUGGGAACUGCGUUUGAAACUGGAAAGCUUGAGUGCGGCAGAGGGGGGUGGAAUUCCACGUGUAGCAGUGAAAUGCGUAGAGAUGUGGAGGAACACCGAUGGCGAAGGCAGCCCCCUGGGUCGACACUGACGCUCAUGCACGAAAGCGUGGGGAGCAAACAGG